rnacentral:rRNA from 1 species
GACGAACGCUGGCGGCGUGCUUAACACAUGCAAGUCGAGCGGUAAGGCCCUUUCGGGGGUACACGAGCGGCGAACGGGUGAGUAACACGUGGGUGACCUGCCCUCAGCUCUGGGAUAAGCCUGGGAAACCGGGUCUAAUACCGGAUAUGACUCCAUGACGCAUGUUGUGGGGUGGAAAGCCUUGUGCGGCUGAGGAUGGGCCCGCGGCCUAUCAGCUUGUUGGUGGGGUGAGC